rnacentral:rRNA from 1 species
UACGUAGGGUGCGAGCGUUAAUCGGAAUUACUGGGCGUAAAGGGCGCGCAGGCGGCUUUGUUUGUCAGGCGUGAAAGCCCCGGGCUUAACCUGGGAACUGCGUUUGAUACGGCAGGGCUAGAGUUCGGGAGAGGAGCGUGGAAUUCCCAGUGUAGAGGUGAAAUUCGUAGAUAUUGGGAAGAACACCGGUGGCGAAGGCGGCGCUCUGGACCGAGACUGACGCUGAGGCGCGAAAGCGUGGGGAGCAAACAGG